CCCAGCUGUAGGCAGCUGCCCAGGUUACCUUGUCCUAAGCAAUGUUACACUGCUGGGAGAAAAACAGCCUAGACUGUUGGGCAUUCUCACCCUGGUUAAUCCCAAAUU
rnacentral:snoRNA from 1 species